GGGACUCUUUCCCUAAGGAUCUAACUCAAAUGACUUCAUGUUCCAAGCAAAGACAGAGUCUUGUUCGGUCGCGCAUGCUGGCGUACAGUGCCACAAUCACAGCUCACCGCAGCUUCCAACUUCUGGACUCACGUGAUCCUUCUGCCUCAGACUUCCAAGUACCUGGGACUGCAGGCACGAAUCACCACAGCCAGCUUGGAGUGACUUUCUAAGGGUAAUUACAAAAGUAAACUUCUUUAACAUAGCUAUAUCACAGCACGAGUGGGAGGAAGGAAGAUGAGGAGGAGAUGGUUCUUCCUACUGGUCCUAAAAAUGCUCUUGAGUGAUAUCUCUACAAUCAAGGUUUCUCAGACUUCUGUUUUGCUUUGUUCUUAAUAACCUUGACAGUUUUGAGGAGUAGUGAUAAGGUAAUUUAUAAAAUACCCCACAACUGGGAUUUGUCUGGUGUUUUUCUCAUAAUUAGGCUGGGGUUAUUUUCAUUUACAUCACAUGGUACAAGGGCACACACUACCAUCAUGACUUAUAUUGCUCAUAAUGACCUUGAGUUAGUGUUUGUCAAAUUUUUCCACUGAAAAAUUACUCUCUUCCCACCCCCUUUCCAUGCUGUAUUCUUU
rnacentral:lncRNA from 1 species